CAACAGUGAGCUGUAGGAUGGUAACUACAAACUUUGCAGCCUUCUCUUUUUACUUCCCAUAAUGAGUUGUUAGACAACAAUGUCUGAAUCUAUUUUGUUCCCAGUGGUUCCCGAAGCAGUUCACUCAAGAUUACCUCGCAAAGUACACGAUUGGUGGACACACAAUGAAGGUUAAAGUAUUUCAUCCAAACUACAAUGAGCAUCGAGAAGUCCUAAGGAAGACAGUGAAGGAUGGACGGGCAGCCAUCACAAGGGGUUGGCCUAGAGUCGUGCGCACCUUACACAUGGAGGAGGGCACAAUAUGGGCAUUUCGCUUCACCUUCUCCAGCAACCAGAAUGUCUUUCUCCUCUCUCUUUAUACUCUUUAGUACAACUUUGGUUCAUCAUUCUUUACUUGGUGUUUCUGUAGUUCUUCA
rnacentral:lncRNA from 1 species